AUGGGGUCAGCUGCUCUCUUUCUGUGGGUACUGCUGCUUUGGGUUCCAGGUUCUACUGGAGACAUUGUGCUGAAGCAGUCUUCAGCUUCACUGACUGUGUCUCUCAGGCAGAGGGCCACCAUCUCCUGCAGGACCAGCGAAAGUGUCAGUGCAGGAAGUAUGCAUCUUAUGCACUGGUAUAAACAGAAAACAGGACAGCCCCCUAAACUCCUCAUCUAUGAAGCAUCUAUUCUAGCAUCUGGGGUCCCUGCCAGGUUCAGUGGCAGUGGGUCUGGGACAGACUUAACCCUCACCAUCCAUCCUGUGGAGGCUGAUGAUGUUGCAAUCUAUUACUAUCAGCAGAAUUAUGAGCUUCCUCCCACUGUUCCAGAGCCAAAUAAAAACCUCCUAGGGUUCUGCUCAUUGAGACUCUGA